UCGACUGAAAAAAUAAAAAAAAACACGUGAAAACAUGACAGCCGAAGACGCCUCUGAUUAUUUUAAUUUCGCUUUUCUGGGCUUUUAUUUUGGUCUCUUUGUUUCGUAAGUUGACAGUGGUGUGAGGAACAUGUCACUGCUGACUGCCGUCGAGAACGCUAUCAAGUCCUGCAAAGCAGAGCAAGCCAGGUUGGACUGCCGCAUUCAGUACUACAGAGAAGUUGUGUUACACAGCCACACAACUCCGCAUGAAUCUGAACUCACUGAGGCUGCUGCUACCACUGCUACAGACACAGCCACAUGCCCGGGGGAAGCAGAAGACCUAAAACUGAUCGAGCAAACAUUGGAAAAAGCUUUUCAGCUCCGCACUCGCUACAGUCUUUUUAGUGAAGACUCUCAAGGAACGAAACCCUCUCAGCCGAGAAAGAAGCCCCCUGACACAUGUGUCCAAUCUAAAGGGUCAACUUCAAAAGCCUCAGCUGCUUCUAAAGGAAAGCAAUCAACAACCGCUCUUAAGUGCGGCCAUCUUGACAGAAGAGGGCAAAGAAAGCCUGGAACAUCGUCUUCACGUGGAUCUCGAACCUCGGCUGUCUGCUAUCCCGCAAGUAAAAAUGGGAUUCACAACCGUCCUGCUCCAUCAGCCGUAAAACAUGUCCCGCAUGUUACUACCUCAGUGGGAAAAGUGGCAAGAAGUCGUGUGCAGAGUGAUGAUGACUCGGCCAAAGCUUCAACUGUCACGUGUUCUUCGACGAAGGUGGAGGACACAGAAGAUCACCAUCAGCCCCCAUCACAGCCAAGGAGAACACAGUGUGAGCAGACGGCACAAUGGAAAUCUCUGUGGAUGAACCAAAACAGAUUGUGGGACAAAGUAAUGGCUGCUCAAAGGAAACCUGCGCCCGGGAGGAGUCGUUUCAUGGAGAGAAUGAGCGCAACGUUCCCUAAGGGCUGGCCACAUGGAAGCCCGGACCAGAUCAGAGGUCUGGUUGGCAGACUGAAUUACCAGACUGAUGAACUGGUCCAGCAAUGCCAGACAAAGGACCUUUUGGAGCAAAGUACAGAAACGGGGGUGAAAGACAACAAGCAUUCCUGUCUCCCACUUGAGAGCUUGCAAAGAACAGCAGCGGACCUCCAGAGGACUGCAGAGCAGGCGAAACAAGAGUGGGAAGCCUGGGAUCGAUGCAGACCAGAGGGAGGUUGCCUUUGCGCCGCUGGGACCGUGGAGGAUGAGGCGACUGCAGGUCGUCUGCCCGUAACUAUCAAUUACAACUCCGAGGCCGAGCUCAGAGAGCUGGAGACGCUCAGGAUGAGAGUGGCUCUGCUGCAACAGGAGAUAUCCUUCCAGCAAGCUCUGCAAGACGCUCUGGCCCCUCAGUUGGCCUCCAUUAUUCCUUCGUGUCCUAAUCGCAGUGUGCUGAGAGAUUUGUACUCCUUACUGGGUGAAGGAGGUCAGCGUUUCCCCGCCAUAGUCCAAGACUAUGAGCCUGAGUGACUCGUGAGAUGACUGAAAGGCUAACGAUGCAGUACAUCUACAAUUUACUUUGCAUUUGAUUCCUGGAGUCCAGUACCAGUGCCAGGUUCCUGGUGCAGCCACCCGCGCACACACCUGAUGCUCAUCUCAUUCCGACUACUUAAAUUGGCACGCCAACAAUUGACUGACAUGAACAAAGAGUUUUUUGACUUAUGAAACGUUUUGAAUUUGUUGAGCCAUUUAGCAAAUGUGGGCGUUUGAAAAACUGCCCAUUCAUUUUGAAUGAAAAAAAUAUUUAAUGUCCAGAACGGUUUUAUUCGGUUGAGAAAUGUGCGAAAUAUGGAUUCAUUUUUUUCUAAUAUUUAUUUAUUCAUUUGAUAGGGAAAUCAUAAUACAGGUACUGAGAAAACAGACAAUAGAAAAUACAAAUAAAAUAAGAAUAAGUCUGCUUAAUUUUUUGAUAGUUUGGUGCAAUCCAAAAAUAGCAAUAUUAUAUAGAAAUAUGGAUUUUAAAAAAAAUGGUGCAUUCAUUACGAAUGGGAAGAAAUGUUACGGGAAAUGUAGAAUUCCUGAAAAUAAAAAUAAUGGUCAUGAUUGAGCAGAAAAUUAAAAAAAUUAGCAAAUGGUUUGAAUCAAAUUAAAAAUGUGGGAGGAGAAGGGCGAAACAAUAUUUAUAAUUUUUUAUAUAUCAAUCAAUCAGUAUUUAUAUAGCCCUAAAUCACAAAAGUCUCAAAGGGCUGCACAAUAAUAAAUAUAUCCAAUCAGAGGUAUUGAAAUUCAAUUUGGUGCAUUUGCAAACAGCUAAAAUUGUGUACAAAGCAAACUAUAACCUGCUACCCAAGAAUGUGCAACAAUUCUUCUCAACAAAAGAGGAGAAAUAUAAGAUCAGAGAAAAAUCUAAUUUAAAACAUUUGUAUGCACGUACAACACUUACAACCUUUAGCAUAUCAGUUUGUGGAAUUAAAUUAUGGAAUGGAUUAAACAAAGAAAUUAAAAAGAGUACUAAUAUGAUUCCGUUUAAGAGGCUGUUCAAACUAAAAGUGUUUACAAAGUACAAGGAGGAAGAAUUUUGAUGAACACCUUGAACCUUAUUGAAAAUGAGAUAUUAAUCUCAUAUGUGAACCAUAACUGAAUGACCUAUUAAUAAGAGAUCUGUUGUAUACAUUUAUGUCAAUUGUGUUACAAAAUGAGGACAGGAAGUGAAUAUGUGCUACUAAAUUGCUAUGAAUUGGAAAAGUGGUAGGACUGAAUAAGGUGUAAACCAGGGGUACCCAAACUACACAAGUAAAAAAAAAAGGGGUCAAAGUUAUUUAUUUAUUUAAAAAAAAUUUUUUUUUCAUAUUGUCUAAAAAUAAAUGUUCCCAUCGAUAACGUGACAUCAUUGCGCUCGGAAUUUAUAGAUAUCUAUAUA